rnacentral:rRNA from 2 species
UACGUAUGUCCCGAGCGUUAUCCGGAUUUAUUGGGCGUAAAGCGAGCGCAGACGGUUAAUUAAGUCUGAUGUGAAAGCCCGGAGCUCAACUCCGGAAAGGCAUUGGAAACUGGUUAACUUGAGUGCAGUAGAGGUAAGUGGAACUCCAUGUGUAGCGGUGGAAUGCGUAGAUAUAUGGAAGAACACCAGCGGCGAAGGCGGCUUACUGGACUGUAACUGACGUUGAGGCUCGAAAGUGUGGGUAGCAAACAGG